AGCCUCUCGAGCCAACAGCAGCAUCAUAGCCGAGUGAAGAUGGCGGCUCAGAGAGUGAUGCUGUCAACGAGAGUUUGAGUUCACCUCUCCUUUUUAAACUUAUGAAACCUUUGCGGAUCCUUUACGGAUAGCUGUAUCAAAGAAAACUGUAUUGGUUGCUGCUCCGGACCAUUUGACAAUGGAAACUCAUGUUCUUCCAGAGCCUCUUCAUUUCACAGGCCACACUAUACCUCUGUCAUUGUGAGAAAUUCAGUCUCAGGUCUUUGGCUCUGCUGAUGAACUCUCUUCAGUAA
rnacentral:lncRNA from 1 species